rnacentral:rRNA from 1 species
UACGUAGGGCGCAAGCGUUGUCCGGAAUUAUUGGGCGUAAAGAGCUUGUAGGCGGUUUGUCGCGUCUGCUGUGAAAAUCCGGGGCUCAACCCCGGACUUGCAGUGGGUACGGGCAGACUAGAGUGCGGUAGGGGUGACUGGAAUUCCUGGUGUAGCGGUGGAAUGCGCAGAUAUCAGGAGGAACACCGAUGGCGAAGGCAGGUCACUGGGCCGCAACUGACGCUGAGGAGCGAAAGCAUGGGGAGCGAACAGG